UACGGGGGGGGCUAGCGUUGUUCGGAAUUACUGGGCGUAAAGGGCUCGUAGGCGGCCAACUAAGUCAUACGUGAAAUCCCUCGGCUUAACCGGGGAACUGCGCCUGAUACUGGAUGGCUUGAGUUUGGGAGAGGGAUGCGGAAUUCCAGGUGUAGCGGUGAAAUGCGUAGAUAUCUGGAGGAACACCGGUGGCGAAGGCGGCAUCCUGGACCAACACUGACACUGAGGAGCGAAAGCCAGGGGAGCAAACGGG
rnacentral:rRNA from 1 species